rnacentral:rRNA from 1 species
AGCGAACGCUGGCGGCAGGCCUAACACAUGCAAGUCGAACGAACCUUUCGGGGUUAGUGGCGGACGGGUGCGUAACACGUGGGAACGUGCCCUUAGGUUCGGAAUAACUCAGGGAAACUUGUGCUAAUACCGAAUGUGCUCUUCGGGGGAAAGAUUAAUCGCCUUUAGAGCGGCCCGCGUCUGAUUAGCUAGUUGGUUGAGGUAAUGGCUCACCAAGGCGACGAUCAUUAGCUGGUCUGAGAGGAUGAUCAGCCACAUUGGGACUGAGACACGGCCCAAACUCCUACGGGAGGCAGCAGUGGGGAAUCUUGCGCAAUGGGCGAAAGCCUGACGCAGCCAUGCCGCGUGAAUGAUGAAGGUCUUAGGAUUGUAAAGUUCUUUUACCGGGGACGAUAAUGACGGUACCCGGAGAAGAAGCUCCGGCUAACUCCGUG